rnacentral:rRNA from 1 species
GACGAACGCUGGCGGCGUGCUUAACACAUGCAAGUCGAACGGAAAGGCCCUGCUUUUGUGGGGUGCUCGAGUGGCGAACGGGUGAGUAACACGUGAGUAACCUCCCCUUGACUUUGGGAUAACUUCAGGAAACUGGGGCUAAUACCGGAUAGGAGCUCCUGCUGCAUGGUGGGGGUUGGAAAGUUUCGGCGGUUGGGGAUGGACUCGCGGCUUAUCAGCUUGUUGGUGGGGUAGUGGCUUACCAAGGCUUUGACGGGUAGCCGGCCUGAGAGGGUGACCGGCCACAUUGGGACUGAGAUACGGCCCAGACUCCUACGGGAGGCAGCAGUGGGGAAUAUUGCACAAUGGGCGGAAGCCCGAUGCAGCAACGCCGCGUGCGGGAUGACGGCCUUCGGGUUGUAAACCGCUUUCGCCUGUGACGAAGCGUGAGUGACGGUAAUGGGUAAAGAAGCACCGGCUAACUACGUG